rnacentral:rRNA from 1 species
GGGUGACUGCGUACCUUUUGUAUAAUGGGUCAGCGACUUAUAUUCUGUAGCAAGGUUAACCGCAUAGGGGAGCCGAAGGGAAACCGAGUCUUAACCGGGCGUUAAGUUGCAGGGUAUAGACCCGAAACCCGGUGAUCUAGCCAUGGGCAGGUUGAAGGUUGGGUAACACUAACUGGAGGACCGAACCGACUAAUGUUGAAAAAUUAGCGGAUGACCUGUGGCUGGGGGUGAAAGGCCAAUCAAACCGGGAGAUAGCUGGUUCUCCCCGAAAGCUAUUUAGGUAGCGCCUCGUGAACUCAUCUCCGGGGGUAGAGCACUGUUUCGGCUAGGGGGCCAUCCCGGCUUACCAACCCGAUGCAAACUGCGAAUACCGGAGAAUGUUAUCACGGGAGACACACGGCGGGUGCUAACGUCCGUCGUGAAGAGGGAAACAACCCAGACCGCCAGCUAAGGUCCCAAAGUCAUGGUUAAGUGGGAAACGAUGUGGGAAGGCCCAGACAGCCAGGAUGUUGGCUUAGAAGCAGCCAUCAUUUAAAGAAAGCGUAAUAGCUCACUGGUCGAGUCGGCCUGCGCGGAAGAUGUAACGGGGCUAAACCAUGCACCGAAGCUGCGGCAGCGACACUUUAGUGUUGUUGGGUAGGGGAGCGUUCUGUAAGCCGUUGAAGGUGUCCUGUGAGGGGUGCUGGAGGUAUCAGAAGUGCGAAUGCUGACAUAAGUAACGAUAAAGCGGGUGAAAAGCCCGCUCGCCGGAAGACCAAGGGUUCCUGUCCAACGUUAAUCGGGGCAGGGUGAGUCGACCCCUAAGGCGAGGCCGAAAGGCGUAGUCGAUGGGAAACGGGUUAAUAUUCCCGUACUUGGUGUUACUGCGAAGGGGGGACGGAGAAGGCUAUGUUGGCCGGGCGACGGUUGUCCCGGUUUAAGCGUGUAGGUGUGUGUUCCAGGUAAAUCCGGUUCACUUUAACACUGAGGCGUGAUGACGAGGCACCACGGUGCUGAAGCAACAAAUGCCCUGCUUCCAGGAAAAGCCUCUAAGCAUCAGGUAACAUCAAAUCGUACCCCAAACCGACACAGGUGGUCAGGUAGAGAAUACCAAGGCGCUUGAGAGAACUCGGGUGAAGGAACUAGGCAAAAUGGUGCCGUAACUUCGGGAGAAGGCACGCUGACAC